CGCUGGCGGCACGCUUAACACAUGCAAGUCGAACGAAGUAGCAAUACUUAGUGGCAGACGGGUGAGUACAAUGUGGGAAUCUGCCUUUUGGUUCGGAAUAACUCGGGGAAACUUGAGCUAAUACUGGAUAAGCCCUUACGGGGAAAGCUUUAUGCGCCGAAAGAUGAGCCCACACUUGAUUAGCUUGUUGGUGAGGUAAAAGCUCACCAAGGCAACGAUCAAUAGCUGUUCUUAGAGGAAGACCAGCCACAUUGGGACUGAGACACGGCCCAGACUCCUACGGGAGGCAGCAGUGGGGAAUCUUGCACAAUGGGGGAAACCCUGAUGCAGCGAUGCCGCGUGAGUGAAGAAGGCCUUUGGGUUGUAAAACUCUUUCGUCGGGGAAGAAAAUGACUGUACCCGAAUAAGAAGGUCCGGCUAACUUCGUGCCAGCAGCCGCGGUAAUACGAAGGGACCUAGCGUAGUUCGGAAUUACUGGGCUUAAAGAGCUCGUAGGUGGUUAAAGAAGUUGGUGGUGAAAGCCCAAGGCUUAACCUUGGAACUGCCAUCAAAACUUUUUAGCUAGAGUGUGAUAGAGGAAAGUGGAAUUUCUAGUGUAGAGGUGAAAUUCGUAGAUAUUAGAAAGAACACCAAAAGCGAAGGCAACUUUCUGGAUCACUACUGACACUGAGGAGCGAAAGCAUGGGUAGCGAAGAGGAUUAGAUACCCUCGUAGUCCAUGCUGUAAACGAUGUGUGCUAGACGUUGGAAAUUUAUUUUCAGUGUCGCAGCAAAAGCGUUAAGCACACCGCCUGGGGAGUACGACCGCA
rnacentral:rRNA from 1 species